GCAUCGGUGGUUUAGUGGUAAAAUUAGCCGUUGCCAUUGAGAAUAUCUUCUCAGCGACGAUCGGCUAGCCCCGGGUUCGAUUCCCGGCCGAUGCA
rnacentral:tRNA from 1 species